AGUUAAUGAGCUUGAACAAGCAUAUGUUUUGAAAACAUAAGAUAGAAAUUUCAUUUUCUAUUAACUU
rnacentral:tRNA from 1 species